rnacentral:rRNA from 1 species
UACGUAGGGGGCAAGCGUUGUCCGGAUUUAUUGGGCGUAAAGAGCGUGUAGGCGGCUUUGCAGGUCCGUUGUGAAAACUCGAGGCUCAACCUCGAGACGCCGGUGGAAACCGUAAGGCUAGAGUCCGGAAGAGGAGAGUGGAAUUCCUGGUGUAGCGGUGGAAUGCGCAGAUAUCAGGAGGAACACCAAUAGCGAAGGCAGCUCGCUGGGACGUGACUGACGCUGAGACGCGAAAGCGUGGGGAGCAAACAGG